UCCAGCAGGACAAGGCAGGCUUUUUGCUCAGAGUUUCAGCAAAUUUGCCUCACCUGUUGCUGGUCCGGUUGAUUAUCAGGGGAGAGAAUAUGGUGUUUACCCCGCCAGCAUCAUUCUCCCUGCCCUUAGAACAGGAGCUCGGGGCGAGCUUCUGCCGGAGCCCCUGGGUUUCGGGCCCAAGCGUCCGUCUUCCACUGAAGGGCAAGGACUGCACCUACAGUGUGCCAGGAGGUGCUCAGCGUUUGAGGGAAUCAAAACGUGGUGCCGCCUACAAGUUGAACAGAAGGGAAGACAGUGAAUUUGGGAAGAAGGAGGCAUAGUAUGGGGUCAGGUGUCUGCCAUAGUAGCUUAAGGACAUUCCCGCGGCUGUAAAGGAAAUCCAGUUGGAGUGGUGCACGUGGAGCGAGGGAACACGCACAGGGGCACAAGGGUGGCACGUUGAAAGAAAAGUAGCUUCGCAAGGACAAACCUGUUGGGUUCAUCGGAAGCCAGGGCAAGCUGCAGAUACAAAGUCAUGUUCCCCGUGAAGAUGCAUCUAUCCCAGAGUUGAAAAGCAUCUGGAAUCAGAAUCCUCCGAAGAGCUGGUUUUGAAGAAUAAUACUGUCUCCUUUUCCUGACUAUUUGGUUUCACUGUGGAAGAUCAAUUACAAGAAAACAUGAGUGCAAGUUUAGUACAAUGCAUGGCUCCUAGUAUUUGAGAAAUGUCAGCUGCCACCAUCAUUAUUGUUAUUCUCAGUGAAGGAGCACACUCCCUAAGAAGGCAUGCCGGAAAUUUCCAGGAGAAGGGGCUGGGCUUCCAACCACUAAUUCCUCACCUCUCAAAUCAUCUACUGAAGCACAGUAGGGAAAUGCUUUUGCCAUGCUUCCUUUAUUGCCCCCUCACCCUGUGGAGUAUCAUCCAUGGCAGGAUAUGGAUUAUCCAUCUCAGAUUAGGAGAGAACCCAUUUCUGUACCAAAUGGAGAAAUACAGCAUUUGCAGAUAAGACAUUUUCCAAGAAACUCAUUAUAACCUCAAUUUUAAAAGCCAUACCACUGAGAGCUAGUUAAUUUUUCUAACUUGGAUAUUUUGCUGCUGUUAAUAAAACCAGGAAGUGGCCUUGGAUGACACUGAAUUGCUGGGAAAUCAUCCUGGAAAACUUCAUCCCAUGCGACCUUCACGACAAUUUGGUUAUGUAGGUAAAGUUGAUGGGACAACUUUUGGUGUGUGGGAAAUGGUAGCAGCAUGGACAUUGUGUGAGCUCGAAACUCAGGCUAGUUCUUGUGAACCUUAGUGUGGUGGUGCCCCACUGUCCCAGUGGCUGCUGCCAUACCUUGCCCACUGUUCACUUCACAGUGUGAAGGCGAAUGUAGAAUACAGAUUUCUAAAAUAGCAUUGGAGAACGAGCUGAUCAGCUUUUUUUCUUUGUUUUCUAUGUCUACAUUUAUUUGUCAUCAUCAUCAGCUUCAUUAAUGGAGAUCCUAAAAUAAUUAGAGUUAAUAAAUCAUGGUAAGAUUCCUGGUUCAAAAAAGGGUAUUUUUUUUUUGUUUUAAUGAUGUGAAAUAUUAAUUAAAUUACAGCACCAUUAGGGGGAAGUCUACACAUUUUAAGUCCUUUGUUUUAAUGUUUGUCAUGCAACUGCACCCAUACAGUCACCACUUAGAUCAACAAAUGGAGUGUUAUCAGCAUCCCAGAAACCUGUUCUGCUCCUAGUUAACACCUUUUCUAUUCUGAUUCUGUUUUCAUAAAUGAAUUAUUAUUUUGAGUAGAUGGAUAUGACUGGUUGUCUCAUUUGAUUUUUUUGUUUACAGAUUUCUUUAGAUAUAAUUGAUCUAACAUAAAACUUAGCCAUUAUAAUUGUAUACUGAAUGGAU
rnacentral:lncRNA from 1 species